GACCUAAUAGCGAAAUUGGUAUCGCAUCCGCUACCGUUUAAAGGAAAAUGUUCUAGUUUCUGUGGAUGUCCCUCGUUCGAAUCGAGGUUAGGUCU